rnacentral:rRNA from 1 species
GACGAACGCUGGCGGCGUGCCUAAUACAUGCAAGUCGAGCGAAGCGGCGGAUGGGUGAGUAACGCGUGGGUAACAUACACUUAAGUCUGGGAUACCAUUGGGAAAAAGAUGCUAAUACCGGAUACUAAUGGAGGGGCUUGCGAUGAAUUAGCUAGUUGGUAGUGUAACGGCUUACCAAGGCGAUGAGGCAUAGCCGAGUUGAGAGACGGAUCGGCCACAUUGGGACUGAGACACGGCCCAAACUCCUACGGGAGGCAGCAGUAGGGAAUCUUCCACAAUGGACGAAAGUCUGAUGGAGCAACGCCGCGUGAGUGAAGAAGGUUUUGGGAUCGUAAAGCUCUGUUGUUGGUGAAGCGGUAAUCAACCAGAAAGUCACGGCUAACUACGUGCCAGCCGCCGCGGUAAUAC